AAUGAAAUAGCCCUUCCAUGGCUGGUCACUGACACACAGAGAGCAAGCCACAUAUCAAACCAAGUGCAAGGCUACAGGUAAGAGGGUUCUGGGCCAACAAUUAGUAUGUAUGUUAAUUUUGUAGUUUUUAAGUUAACAGGACUCUGGGUCCAAAUUGUAGUCCAGACAUGACGUUGAACUCUUACACACAGCCCUAAUUGGCUUUGAACCUAUCAAAAUACUGUUUCAUUUAAAUUUCAUCUACCUCUACCUUCCUAAAAAUUUCCUAAUUACUCUAUUGCUUUGUCUUGUGAGAUGCCUUAGUUCCUCUGCUGUGUGAUCUCACGCAUUGUAGACCACUGUCAAAAUCAUAAAGGGGAUUUUGUGGGACCACAGAUAGGUUAGGUGAUCUUGGUCUGAUAGGGCUAGGAGGAAAAGCUUUAAAGUAUAUUCUCAGUUAACACAUGUUUUCAUAAACUGUAUCUGUUCACAUUCGUUAAUGUGUAAAUACUGAAAAGAAAAAAGUUGGCCACUAUUUAGUAAGGAAGUAUCUGAGCAAACAACGAAAGAGCAUUUUAACACUACUGAUCUAAAUUAUCUAGAACGAUAUUUGUAUUGAAAGAGGAGGAGGAGAAGAAAAAAAUUAAAAAGUAGAAGAAAGGUGGGGAGAGGGAGACAGAUUAAGAAAGAAAAGCCAUCUAUUAAUACUACCUUGGUACCGUAAAAGCCUAGAGGAACGCAACCGCCACAUCUCAGAGUUCCUUUCCACUUUUCAAAUAUACGCGGGACGGUCUCGGGCGGCACUAGAACUACAACUCCCAGGUUCCUGCGCGGCGCGGAGAAGGCAGGCCGGGACUGUGCGAAAGAGACUCCGGGGAUAGCGGGCCACAGCCGGCCGCUCCUCCUUUUGAAGCGGUUUCGCACCUCUUUCCGCCCGCGGCGUCGGUGGCGUCGGCGGCGUCGGCGCUCACGCAGGGGCGGGUCACGGCGGCGCGAAGCGGUGCUGGGCGGGAAGGGAAGUCGUGGCGGCGGUGGCGGCGGGGACCGCAGCAGCGGUGGUGCUGUCAGUUAGGCCGUCGGAGAAAUGGGAGACCCGGGGUCGGAGACAAUAGAAUCUGUCCCUCCAGCUGGGCCCGAGGCAUCUGAGUCAACAACGGAUGAAAAUGAAGAUGACAUUCAGUUUGUUAGUGAAGGACCAUCAAAACCUGUUCUUGAAUACACUGAUCUGGUCUGUGGUGAUGAUGAAGAGCGUAGCAUCUAUCAUAGUGAUAUUCUGUUCCCUAAAAUGCCAAAACGACAGGGAGAUUUUUUGCAUUUUUUAAAUGUGAAGAAGGUGAAAACAGACACAGAAAGAAAUGAUAACAGAAAUCAUUGUGGACUGUCCAAGUCAGAGGAAUCAAAUUUCAAAUAUGUUGAAAAACCAGUCAUUGAAGAAAAUCCAUCAUGUUCAUCAAAGGAAGAAACAGAUAAUCUUGUGCUUCCAGAUUGUUGGAAUGAAAAACAAGCAUUUAUGUUUACAGAACAGUACAAAUGGCUUGAAAUAAAAGAAGUUUAGACAUGAAUAUGAACACAUUUUUAAAUUUAAAAUGAAGGCAUACUGAAAAAGAAGUAGAGAUGCAGAAGCUAGUACUACAACUGGAACAGUAAACAAGCUGGAAGAAGGUGAGUGCAUGGAUGGUGGAGGGGCCAGGGUUCCCUGCCAGGCGUCAGACCGUUCAGAAGCCCUCUCUUCGCAGUCACAGAGACCACAGAUUCCAGCCAGCAUGGCUCCUCUGACAAGAUAUUGUGUAGCCCUCCUCCCUUUGGUCCUCUGACCCAAGCUGAGUCUGAAAGGAUUUCUGUUCCCAGCCCUGCAUUCCCAGGCCCUUCACCAGCAGCAGCAAACAGGACAGAGCCCUUGCACUUACCGAUGAGCCCUUGACCUUCAUGGAGUAAGAUUCUGCUGGAUCUUUCUGAGAUGUGCUGUUAGGAGCCCUCUCAGAGAGAUACUCUGUGCAUUUUCUCUGCAUCCCAACUUGUGACUUCUGCUGAAGCUCAGCUUACGUUACCCCUCAGUUAUUAGAUUUAUAGGCUAUAGCAUUUGCAUUUCUGGAUGAGUUUCUCCUUUCAGGAAGUAUGCUUUGCUGCUACUUUCUGAGGCCUGCUACUCAUGAGGUCCCUUGAUGUUCUCUUUGCAUUUUCUGUUUAAUUUUAUUAUUUUUUCAACAUUUAUUUAUUUUUGAGAAAGAGUGCAAGUGAUGGGAGGGGCAAAGAGAAGAGGGCAGAGGAUCCAGAGCGGGCUCUGCUCUGACUGACAGCGGAGAACCCAGUGCAGGGCUCGAACCCAUGAACUGCCAGACCAUGACCCAAAGUCAAGACGCUCAACUGACUGAGCCACCCAGGCACCCCUCUAUUUAAUUUUAAUUGGUUUUCUUUUGGGUUCCACAGAUUUUGUCUGACACCUCUUUGCUGAAAAAGUGGGGCAAUAUUUUUUUAAUCCUCUUUCAUUUUGUUGUUUCUAAUUUUUUCUUGUUGCUUUGAUUUCUCAGGAGGAGAAAGAAAGUUAGGUUACCAAUGUGUUCAUACCAUAGAGUUACAUCCAGUUAUAUCCAGUGUUCAGAAGCCUAAUGCAACUCUGAUUCUCAUUCUUUUAUUCAGAACCUGUUUCCUCAUACUCCUUAAGGUUCUUUUUGUCUUCUCUUAUAUACUAGAACUGGAUGAAAAUGUGCCUGUUGUGUAUCUUUUCAUAUGCAUUGUUUGGGGCACAUGAUGGACCAUUUAAAUCUGGAUACUUGCAUUUCUUCAAUUCUGGGAAAAUUUAUUACUUAUUAUAUAAUUUUUAAAGUUCUCCUCCCCAUUUUUCAUUUUAUCUCUCUCUGGAAUUCCAGUUGUCCUAGAAGUCCAAUCAUUAUGGACUGAAUCUCUAGGUCUCCUAUCAUUUCUGUACAAUUUUUCUUUUAAGUCUCAGCUUUUUUUAAAUCUCAGCUGGGAGAUUUCUUGGCUAUAUAACUUGAACGUGUCAAAACUCUAAUUUUUUUUUUUUUUAAUGUUUAUUUAUUUUUGAGACAGAGAGAGACAGAGCAUGAAUGGGGGAGGGUCAGAGAGAGAGGGAGACACAGAAUCUGAAACAGGCUCCAGCCUCUGAGCUGUCAGCACAGAGCCCGACGCGGGGCUCGAACUCAUGGACCGUGAGAUCAUGACCUGAGCCGAAGUCGGCCGCUUAACCGACUGAGCCACCCAGGCGCCCUAAAACUCUAAUUUUUAAGACCUGUUUUUUAUUCUCUGAUAAGUUUCUUUUUUAUUAAAAUACUUUAUUUCUGGAUUUCCUUUAGCCUUAUGAAAAAAAUUUAAUAAAUUAUUUUGUAGGCAUUGUGUUUCACUCAAGACCCCUUUUCCUCAUUAUCUUAAAUUUACUUUUCUUUUCCAAGGCCUUUCUGUUUGAAUCCUGGAUGUUCUUUCAUAUUUAAUCUGUUACCUGGGUAGCUUCACUUAUGAGUCACUGGAUAGAAAGCCAUUUGUUUGGGGGGGGGGGCAUCCUUCAUAUCAGUUUGAUACUGAAUCUUGUGGUUGGUGUUGAAUUGCUCUCCAGAUCUUCUGGUACUCCUGGCUGAUAAUAUUUUACAUACAAGACAGAGAAAAGGGACUGGAAGUAACAGUGUUUCAAUGACAGACUUUGUGUGAAUUCCCUUUUCAGUUCUCACUCAUGCCCACAACUAUACCCAGUGCCUUGGGCCCUGAAUGUCUGCUUUUGACUAAGUGCAGAAAAUGUCUUCUGAAUAGAUAGGUGGAGAUGUGUAGGAGGAGAGAUUUAUAGUUCCUGUAUGCAGUCUCUCAAACUCUCUUUGAUAUGUGGAACCUUAUCCCCAUUAUCCAUUAUAUCUGGUAUCAAUUAUGAGCCCCUCCUGGGUUUUCUGGGGCAAACUGGUUUGCUUCCUCUUCCCUUGAAGUAAGUUACUACUCUAUUUUCUGUCUCCCAUAGUUUUCUCAACUGUCUAAUGGAAACAAUAUCAGAUAAUCCCUCAUAAGGUUGUUGUAUGAGUCAAAUGAAGUUACGUAUGUAAUAUGCCUAACAGAGCACCGAACUUGAAGUAAUCAUUCUACAAAUGGCAGUUAUUAGUGUUAUAAAACCUCUCAAAAUCCCAGACAGUCCUAUUCAUAUUAAUUCCCUAAACAGUAGUGCCCAAAAAAUCUCUGUUGGUGUUUUUGUGGACUUAAUAAUUUCUGUAUAUUCAUCUAAGGAAUAAAAUUGGAAGAGAAGUAAAAUAAAUUCAUGCUUUAA